rnacentral:rRNA from 1 species
UGGGGAAUAUUGGACAAUGGGCGAAAGCCUGAUCUAGCCAUGCCGCGUGUGUGAAGAAGGCCUUUUGGUUGUAAAGCACUUUAAGCGAGGAGGAGGCUACUGAGAUUAAUACUCUUGGAUAGUGGACGUUACUCGCAGAAUAAGCACCGGCUAACUCUGUGCCAGCAGCCGCGGUAAUACAGAGGGUGCGAGCGUUAAUCGGAUUUACUGGGCGUAAAGCGUGCGUAGGCGGCUUCUUAAGUCGGAUGUGAAAUCCCUGAGCUUAACUUAGGAAUUGCAUUCGAUACUGGGAAGCUAGAGUAUGGGAGAUGAUGGUAGAAUUCCAGGUGUAGCGGUGAAAUGCGUAGAGAUCUGGAGGAAUACCGAUGGCGAAGGCAGCCAUCUGGCCUAAUACUGACGCUGAGGUACGAAAGCAUGGGGAGCAAACAGG